rnacentral:ribozyme from 1 species
AACGGCUGAGAUCGCACUGUGAAACAAACGAGAAAAAAAGGGAAAUGGAUGUCAAUUUUCAAGUUCUUAUUUUAAUUUCUGUGGAUGGAAACAAAAAAU